GCAACAAUAAGCGGAGGAAAAGAAACUAACAAGGAUUCCCCUAGUAACUGCGAGUGAAGCGGGAAAAGCUCAAAUUUAAAAUCUGGUGGUCUUUGGCCAUCCGAGUUGUAAUCUAGAGAAGUGUUACCCGCGUCGGACCGUGUACAAGUCUCCUGGAAUGGAGCGUCAUAGAGGGUGAGAAUCCCGUCUUUGACACGGACCCCCGAUGCUUUGUGGUGCGCUCUCAACGAGUCGAGUUGUUUGGGAAUGCAGCUCAAAAUGGGUGGUAAAUUCCAUCUAAAGCUAAAUAUUGGCGAGAGACCGAUAGCGAACAAGUACCGUGAGGGAAAGAUGAAAAGAACUUUGGAAAGAGAGUUAAACAGUACGUGAAAUUGCUGAAAGGGAAACGCUUGAAGUCAGUCGCGUUGGCCGGAAAUCAGCCUUCCUUUUGGUUGGUGUACUUUCUGGUUGACGGGCCAGCAUCAGUUUUGACCGGUGGAAAAAGUUGUAGGGAAUGUGGCAUCUUCGGGUGUGUUAUAGCCUUGCUUCGUAUACAUCGGUUGGGACUGAGGAACUCAGCACGCCGCAAGGCCGGGGUUCGCCCACGUUCGUGCUUAGGAUGCUGGCAUAAUGGCUUUAAUCGACCCGUCUUGAAACACGGACCAAGGAGUCUAACAUGCCUGCGAGUGUUUGGGUGGAAAACCCGAGCGCGUAAUGAAAGUGAAAGUCGAGAUCCUUGUCAUGGGGAGCAUCGACGCCCGGACCAGACGUUUUCUGACGGUUCUGCGGUAGAGCAUGUAUGUUGGGACCCGAAAGAUGGUGAACUAUGCCUGAAUAGGGUGAAGCCAGAGGAAACUCUGGUGGAGGCUCGUAGCGAUUCUGACGUGCAAAUCGAUCGUCAAAUUUGGGUAUAGGGGCGAAAGACUAAUCGAACCAUCUAGUAGCUGGUUCUGC
rnacentral:rRNA from 1 species